rnacentral:lncRNA from 1 species
CCGCGGGAGGAGGGGGUUGAGCUGGCUCCGGAGUUGCCCAAAGAAGCCCUCGAAGGCACGAGCAGCCGGCGCCUUCGGCAGAGGAGGAGGAGGAGGGAUCGCGUCGGGCGGAGCUUCAGGUCCUGUUCGCCUCUCCGGCUUCUCCAUACAAAGAUUACGGUGCAGAAGGAAAUUGCACUCGCCUCCUCCGCCCCCCGGUACCCAGCACAAUGCACCAGCCGCCAGAGUCCACCGCCGCGGCGGCCG